GACGAACGCUGGCGGCGUGGAUUAGGCAUGCAAGUCGAACGGUAUCAUCCUUUCGGGGGUGAGAGAGUGGCGAACUGGUGAGUAACACGUAGGUUAUCUACCCUCAAGACGGGGACAACCCAGGGAAACUUGGGCUAAUACCGGAUGUGAGCAACUUUUAGUUGUUUGAAAGGUGGCGUAAGCUGUCGCUUGGGGAUGAGCCUGCGUCCUAUUAGUUAGUUGGUGAGGUAACGGCUCACCUAGGCAAUGAUAGGUAGGCGGCCUUAACGGGUGGUCGCCCACACUGGGAUUGAGAUACGGCCCAGACUCCUACGGGAGGCAGCAGUCGAGAAUAGUCUGCAAUGGUCGGAAGACUGAUAGUGCGACGCCGCGUGAACGAUGAAUCCCUUCGGGGUUAAAGUUCUUUUAAUGUGAGCAGUGCUUCUUAUAUUAACAGUAUGGGGAAGAGAUAUUAGCAUAUGAAUAAGCAACGGCUAACUCCGUGCCAGCAGCCGAGGUAAAA
rnacentral:rRNA from 1 species